UAAAAAAUGAGAGUUUGAUCCUGGCUCAGGACGAACGCU
rnacentral:rRNA from 1 species